rnacentral:lncRNA from 1 species
GUCAGAGUAUGACAGACGGCAUGGUCGGGCUUUUGGAUACUACGUGAGGGCGUGAGCAAAGACACAGACAAGCUUUUAGGGAGCAGAUGCAGCCCUUUCCCUGGGGAGAUUGGGGUACCUGGAAUAUGGUGAUCUUAGUGGCAGAGAGGCCUAGAAUGACUGGCUGGGAAAGAGGGCAUUGGAGUGGGUGGUGACGACUAGAAACAUGGUGAGGAAGGUCCUCCCACCCCAUCUUGACUUUAUUCCUUCUAGAGGCCACAGGGUGAGGGGACUGGCCUCGGAGCUUCGUGUGGCCACCGGGGCUGCAGGAACCAGGACACUGAUAACCACAGCCUUCAUGGCAGUAAGUGAAGGGAGAAAGGGAGACCUACCAAGCUGAAACAGCUGAACGCACUGGGUGAAUGUGGCAGGACAGGUGGGGAAAGAAUGACUGAUGAGGUGCCUGCCCUGUCUCCUUCCCCAGUCAGCUCUGGGAGCCGUGGUCCCCCAGCUCUACCAGCCUCUCGCUCCAUUGUCACUCUCUCCAUGCGUCAUUGUGCUCUCACCCAGUUUCUCUCCUUUGCUCUUGUCCCCUUCUCACCUUCUCCAGCCUUCCAGGCACUGUGAAAGGGAAAAAUAGUAAAACAUGCAAAGCUUUUGUUUUCAGGACAAAGAUAAGGUGUUCUGUGUCUCAGCUGGGCGUGUCUGGUUGCUCAAGCUCCUGCUAAGCUUUGCGACCUGUUCUGGUCUGUCUUCAGGAUAUGGGGCCGGGAGGGCAGGCCCUGACCCUUGUAACCAAAUACCUCAGACAGGACCAUGCUGACAGUCCUGCUCAGUAAAUAUUUGCUGAUGACCAGCAUGACGACGCUUGGAGAAACUAACCCCCACCAAACUGUUCAGGAAAACAUUCUUCUUUCAUCACUGACCAAUGGAAUUUCUGUAUCCCAGAGAUGUUGUCUCAGGCAUGUGGCCAUCUGUCCAGAUGUGGAGGCCAAGGGGGCUCAUGGGAGAGAACCGCUUGGAAGCUGCCGACGUGGUGCUCCUGUGCCCUGUCUGGGUGUUGGGAAGCCUCACAGCUGCUGGGGCCAGCCGAACCUCCCCCUCGCUGACUUGGGGCUUCUGUGUCAGGGUGUUGGUGAAGCGGCGUUUUGGCAAGAGCCUCGGCAGCUGCUGCCAGGAAGAGGCUGAA